UAACAAGGAUUCCCCUAGUAACGGCGAGUGAAGAGGGAAGAGCUCAAAUUUGAAAGCUGGUACCUUCGGUAUCCGCGUUGUAACCUCGAGACACGUUUUCCGUGCGGCGCUAUGGACAAGUUCCUUGGAACAGGACAUCGUAGAGGGUGAAAAUCCCGUACUUGCCAUGGAUGUACCGUGCUUUGCGAUACGUGCUCUAAGAGUCGAGUUGUUUGGGAUUGCAGCUCAAAAUGGGUGGUAGACUCCAUCUAAAGCUAAAUAUCGGGGAGAGACCGAUAGCGAACAAGUACCGUGAGGGAAAGAUGAAAAGCACUUUGGAAAGAGAGUUAAAAGUACGUGAAAUUGUCGAAAGGGAAGCGCUUGAAGUCAGCCAUGCCGCUCAGGACUCAGCCUGGCUUUUGCUUGGUGUAUUUCCUGGGUAGCAAGUCAGCAUUGGUUUGGAUCGUCGGAGAAGCAUAGUCGGAAUGUGGCGCCCUCGGGCGUGUUAUAGCCUUCUAUUGGAUACGACGAUCUAGACCAAGGAACGCAGCGCGCCUUAUGGCGGGUCUUCGGACACCUCGCGCUAGG
rnacentral:rRNA from 1 species